GACGAACGCUGGCGGCGUGCUUAACACAUGCAAGUCGAACGGAAAGGCCCUGCUUUUGUGGGGUGCUCGAGUGGCGAACGGGUGAGUAACACGUGAGUAACCUGCCCUUGACUUUGGGAUAACUUCAGGAAACUGGGGCUAAUACCGGAUAGGAGCUCCUGCUGCAUGGUGGGGGUUGGAAAGUUUCGGCGGUUGGGGAUGGACUCGCGGCUUAUCAGCUUGUUGGUGGGGUAGUGGCUUACCAAGGCUUUGACGGGUAGCCGGCCUGAGAGGGUGACCGGCCACAUUGGGACUGAGGUACGGCCCAGACUCCUACGGGAGGCAGCAGUGGGAAAUAUUGCACAAUGGGCGGAAGCCUGAUGCAGCAACGCCGCGUGCGGGAUGACGGCCUUCGGGUUGUAAACCGCUUUCGCCUGUGACGAAGCGUGAGUGACGGUAAUGGGUAAAGAAGCACCGGCUAACUACGUG
rnacentral:rRNA from 1 species